rnacentral:rRNA from 1 species
AUGCAGGAAGUUGUCUGCAGGUGCUCUGGUGAAUCACAACCACUCACUGACACCUACAUGUGGCGAGAAGGUGAAUUGGCCGGCCCACAUCAAAUUGAUGUCUACAUGAAGGAUCUGCCGACAAACAGCUGUGAUAAAGCACCAUAUGAGGAGUUGAGUAUGAGAACUACAUUUUGCAGCAUCUGCAGAGGUAAGAGGCAUAAGAAGACCACCCGUCGACAGAGAGAUGAUUUGCCGAAACAACCAAGGAAGGAAGCAAAAUGCAGUAACUGUGGUGCAGCGGGACACAGGAAAAAUAAUUGCAUGAACCCUGAAGGUGUUAAGCUGCAAAUUGGGCCUGCAUGGCUAGGGAUAGCAGAUUUAAGAUUCAAUUUGCAAACAAACAAAUGUUUUAUGAUUGAGGCAAACUUGUGUGGGCAGGCUGUGCAUAUAUCCCAGCUAGUGAUCGAGUUGCUUUAUAAAAGUGCAGAUCCAUUAGCUGGGUCUCUCUCUGAGGCCAUUUUCAAUCGUGUGUGGAACCAAUUUGAAGAAAAGGAUAUCGUUGGGAGAGGGGGUGGCGCAGCAAUGUUGCCAGGAGGAAGAUGGCUCCAUCCAUCAGCUAGUCGAGCUCCGUGUCCUCAUGUCAGGCUUGGCUUGGAGUGCUGA